rnacentral:rRNA from 1 species
GACGGAGGGUGCAAGCGUUGUUCGGAAUUACUGGGCGUAAAGCGUACGUAGGCGGCGGGUUAAGUCGAAUGUUAAAGCCUGGAGCUCAACUCCAGAGAUGCAUUCGAUACUGGCUUGCUAGAGGUUGAUAGAGGAAAGCGGAAUUCCGAGUGUAGCGGUGAAAUGCGUAGAUAUUCGGAGGAACAUCAGUAGCGAAGGCGGCUUUCUGGGUCACACCUGACGCUGAGGUACGAAAGCGUGGGGAGCAAACGGG